GACCAGCAGUAAGUUACUGUAAAACCUACAGUGUAAUUCAGUAUUUUUCAGACUUGUUUCUUGGGUCCGCCCACAAUUCGUCCAACCGAGCUUCAUUUCACCUGGCCGACCCUGCUAAAUCCAUCCUACUGCAUCGUGUGUUUUUGAUAACAAGUUGCUGGUGACAAAGUCACAAUAAAACGUUGGAUGAUCAGCAUGGAAGGUGAUGUCAUCUGCAAAGGCGUCCAACCUAGCUUAAUCUCAGGGCUUGCUGCCCUUCUUGCCACCUACUAUGUGUUCAACUUGGAAUACCAAGAGGAAGGUCCUCGGACAUUGGAAUUUGUUCAAAGGGACCGAAGCACCAGUUUGACUCUAGGAUACAGAGAAGGUAGGUAAUGUGCAGGUAAAGAUAUGUUGACUGGGUCAAAGAAGGAAGCACCUGUUUGACCCCAGGAUGCAGAAAAAGUAG